GCCCUAAUGGUCUAGUGGCAUGAUACUUGCUUUGGGAAUCACUCACUCAAAGUUGCAAGUGGUCCCCGGUUCGAAUCCGGGUUGGGGCC